GUAGGUGUGUGUUAACUUCCUGAGAGCGUUAUAAGCGUUAUAACAAGAGUUCAUUUUGUUCAAUAUUUAGUGUAGAUUCAGCAUACAUUGAGGAUAAAAUAUGUGUAGUAUAAAAAAGGGAAUAUGUGGUGUAUUAAACAUUAAAUUGUGUUUGAAAUAUGUUGUAAAGUAAUCACAUUUUGCUGAAUUUGACGAUGUCCUGAGGAUAAAGUAAUAGUGUUACAGCAUAAAAAAAGAUCUGAUAUGAGAGCUGGCAAAUGUGAGAAAAUCUGUCGGAAAGAAAUCUAGUAUUACUCAACACUGGUUUCUGUGCGAUUUUUUUUAAGUGUUAACAUAUGUGAUAGUUCGAUACAAUGUAUUUUGAGGUAAAUGAUAGUGCGAAAUGCGACAGUGUGUAAUUUCUGUUGCAAUACAUACGACAACCUCAUAGUUCAAAGCGUAGUGAGUGACGGAACAGAUUUCAACAUGUUUAAAAGGAUUAUUUUAUUAUAAAGUAUUGCGUCAGUUGCUAGCUG